AGUACUUGAUGAAAAGUGACUGGGCUGUAAUAACACACAGAGGCAGAGUUGUGGCUUUGAGUACUGAUACAGAUAUCCAGAAAUUGCUGCAGGCCUGUGAAUACAGGCACGGCUGGAGUGAGUAAAGUUUGUUACCGACAACCAAGGACACACAGGCUGAAUGUUCACGAGACCUGAGGUGGGAGGAUAAACUCACGAAGAUUUGGCAGGAGUUAGAUCCUAUCCAGAGUCUCUCUCAUCUCUGCAUACACCUCUAUGGAAACCUGUGGGGAAGGGACAGUACUUAUUUUGCAUAUUAUUCUAAUUAUGCUGCCUGGUGCAGAAAGGCACAACCAAAGGUUGUAUCCUGAAGCAACUCAAGGUGAGUAACUACAUCAUUCAAUUGGGGUGAAUAACUACUGUACCUCAUUCAAUUAAGGAGAGGUCCAGUGAUACCCCUCUCCUCAGCGGCAUCCUCCAUUUUGUUUCUCACAGAUGACAGCCAGACUGAUCAUGUUUCUGACUAUUUCACCUGCAGUGUGGACAGGACUCACUAUAGCUGAAGAUGGAAAGGCUGCUGCUGGGUACCCAUGAAGACUGUACCACUAUUGCCAUCUAUAGAAGGCACAAGCGCUACCGUGACAAACUGCUGAUAAUUAAGUUUACCAAUGUUGAAUACUGAAAGGUGGACAUUAGAGAGUGCUAAAGGGGUUAUGUCUCACAAUUAAAUGGGGCCCUAUUUUCUGCAA